AGAGUUUGAUCAUGGCUCAGAACGAACGCUAGCGGCAGGCCUAACACAUGCAAGUCGAGCGCCCGCAAGGGAGCGGCAGACGGGUGAGUAACGCGUGGGAACGUGCCCUUUGGUUCGGAAUAUUCCCGGGAAACUGGGAGCAAAACCGGAUAAGCCCUUCGGGGGAAAGUUUACGCCAAAGGAUCGGCCCGCGUUAGAUUAGGUAGUUGGUGGGGUAACGGCCUACCAAGCCUACGAUCUAUAGCUGAUCUGAGAGGAUGAUCAGCCACACUGGGACUGAGACACGGCCCAGACUCCUACGGGAGGCAGCAGUGGGGAAUCUUGGACAAUGGGCGCAAGCCUGAUCCAGCCAUGCCGCGUGGAUGACUGAAGGCCCUAGGGUUGUAAAGUCCUUUCGACGGGGACGAUAAUGACGGUACCCGUAGAAGAAGCCCCGGCUAACUUCGUGCCAGCAGCCGCGGUAAUACGAAGGGGGCUAGCGUUGUUCGGAUUUACUGGGCGUAAAGGGCGCGUAGGCGGAUUUUUAAGUCGGGGGUGAAAUCCCGGAGCUCAACUCCGGAACUGCCUUCGAUACUGGAAGUCUGGAGCACGGUAGAGGUGAGUGGAAUUCCGAGUGUAGAGGUGAAAUUCGUAGAUAUUCGGAGGAACACCAGUGGCGAAGGCGACUCACUGGACCGUUGCUGACGCUGAGGCGCGAAAGCGUGGGGAGCAAACAGGAUUAGAUACCCCGGUAGUCC
rnacentral:rRNA from 1 species